rnacentral:rRNA from 1 species
UACGAAGGGGGCUAGCGUUGCUCGGAAUCACUGGGCGUAAAGCGCACGUAGGCGGCUUUCUAAGUCAGGGGUGAAAUCCUGGAGCUCAACUCCAGAACUGCCUUUGAUACUGGAGAGCUUGAGUCCGGGAGAGGUGAGUGGAACUCCGAGUGUAGAGGUGAAAUUCGUAGAUAUUCGGAAGAACACCAGUGGCGAAGGCGGCUCACUGGCCCGGUACUGACGCUGAGGUGCGAAAGCGUGGGAAGCAAACAGG